rnacentral:rRNA from 1 species
GAUGAACGCUGGCGGCGUGCCUAACACAUGCAAGUCGAGCGAGAUAUAAAGGACAGAUUCUUCGGAAGAUGAAAUUUAUUGAGAGCGGCGGACGGGUGAGUAACGCGUGGGUAACCUGCCCUAUGGAGGGGGAUAACGCAGAGAAAUUUGCGCUAAUACCGCAUAAGCACACAGGAUCACAUGAUCUAGGGUGAAAAACUCCGGUGCCAUAGGAUGGACCCGCGUAAGAUUAGCUAGUUGGUGAGGUAACGGCUCACCAAGGCAACGAUCUUUAGCCGACCUGAGAGGGUGAUCGGCCACAUUGGGACUGAGACACGGCCCAAACUCCUACGGGAGGCAGCAGUGGGGGAUAUUGCACAAUGGGCGAAAGCCUGAUGCAGCAACGCCGCGUGAAGGAAGAC